rnacentral:rRNA from 1 species
GACGAACCGUGCGAACGUUGUUCGGAAUCACUGGGCCUAAAGGGCGCGUAGGCGGCUUUUCAAGUCAGGGGUGAAAUCCGGCAGCUUAACUGUCGAAGUGCCCUUGAUACUGAUGAGCUCGAGGGAGGUAGGGGUAUGUGGAACUUCCGGUGGAGCGGUGAAAUGCGUUGAUAUCGGAAGGAACGCCGGUGGCGAAAGCGACGUACUGGACCUCUUCUGACGCUGAGGCGCGAAAGCUAGGGGAGCAAACAGG